rnacentral:rRNA from 1 species
CACGUAGGCACCAAGCGUUGUCCGGAUUUAUUGGGCGUAAAGAGCUCGUAGGCGGUUCAGUAAGUCGGGUGUGAAAACUCUGGGCUUAACCCAGAGCCGCCACUCGAUACUGCUGUGACUUGAGUUCGGUAGGGGAGCAGGGAAUUCCUAGUGUAGCGGUGAAAUGCGCAGAUAUUAGGAGGAACACCGGUGGUGAAGGCGCUGCUCUGGGCCGAUACUGACGCUGAGGAGCGAAAGCGUGGGUAGCAAACAGG